UACGGAGAGUUCAAGCGUUGUUCGGAAUUACUGGGCGUAAAGGGCACGUAGGCGGACCAGCCAGUCAGGCGUGAAAGCCCCGGGCUUAACCUGGGAACUGCGCUUGAUACUGCUGGUCUAGAGUCCGGGAGAGGGUAGUGGAAUUCCCAGUGUAGAGGUGAAAUUCGUAGAUAUUGGGAAGAACACCGGUGGCGAAGGCGGCUACCUGGACCGGUACUGACGCUAAGGUGCGAAAGCGUGGGGAGCAAACAGGAUUAGAAACCCCAGUAGUCC
rnacentral:rRNA from 1 species